rnacentral:rRNA from 1 species
ACCCACUUUUUUUGGGGGUUUGCGGCUACCCAAACCCCUGUGACAUACCUAUACGUUGCCUCGGCGGAUCAGCCCGCGCCCCGUAAAACGGGACGGCCCGCCCGAGGACCCCUAAACUCUGUUUUUAGUGGAACUUCUGAGUAAAACAAACAAAUAAAUCAAAACUUUCAACAACGGAUCUCUUGGUUCUGGCAUCGAUGAAGAACGCAGCAAAAUGCGAUAAGUAAUGUGAAUUGCAGAAUUCAGUGAAUCAUCGAAUCUUUGAACGCACAUUGCGCCCGCCAGUAUUCUGGCGGGCAUGCCUGUUCGAGCGUCAUUUCAACCCUCAAGCUCAGCUUGGUGUUGGGACUCGCGGUAACCCGCGUUCCCCAAAUCGAUUGGCGGUCACGUCGAGCUUCCAUAGCGUAGUAAUCAUACACCUCGUUACUGGUAAUCGUCGCGGCCACGCCGUAAAACCCCAACUUCUGAAUGUUGACCUCGGAUCAGGUAGGAAUACCCGCUGAACUUAAGCAUAUCAAAGGCGGGAGGAAAUUCG